rnacentral:rRNA from 1 species
CCUACGGGGGGCUGCAGUGGGGAAUAUUGGACAAUGGGGGGAACCCUGAUCCAGCCAUGCCGCGUGUGUGAAGAAGGCCCUCGGGUUGUAAAGCACUUUCAGUGAGGAAGAACGCCUGGUGGUUAAUACCCAUCAGGAAAGACAUCACUCACAGAAGAAGCACCGGCUAACUCCGUGCCAGCAGCUGCGGUAAUACGGAGGGUGCGAGCGUUAAUCGGAAUUACUGGGCGUAAAGCGCGCGUAGGUGGCUUGAUAAGCCGGUUGUGAAAGCCCCGGGCUCAACCUGGGAACGGCAUCCGGAACUGUCAAGCUAGAGUGCAGGAGAGGAAGGUAGAAUUCCCGGUGUAGCGGUGAAAUGCGUAGAGAUCGGGAGGAAUACCAGUGGCGAAGGCGGCCUUCUGGACUGACACUGACACUGAGGUGCGAAAGCGUGGGUAGCAAACAGGAUUAGAUACCCGAGUAGUC